rnacentral:rRNA from 1 species
UACGUAGGGGGCGAGCGUUGUCCGGAAUCAUUGGGCGUAAAGCGCGUGUAGGCGGCUUGGUAAGUCCGGUGUGAAACCUUGGGGCUCAACCCCAAGCCUGCACUGGAUACUGCCUCGCUUGAGUCCGGGAGGGGAGAGCGGAAUUCCUAGUGUAGCGGUGAAAUGCGCAGAUAUUAGGAAGAACACCUAUGGCGAAGGCAGCUCUCUGGGACGGUACUGACGCUGAGACGCGAAAGCGUGGGGAGCGAACAGG